AUUGAACGCUGGCGGCAGGCCUAACACAUGCAAGUCGAACGAGUGGCGGACGGGCGAGUAAUGUCUGGGAAACUGCCUGAUGGAGGGGGAUAACUACCGGAAACGGUAGCUAAUACCGCAUACCAUCAGAUGUGCCCAGAUGGGAUUAGCUUGGUGGUGUGGUAACGGCUAACCAAGGCGACGAUCCCUAGCUGGUCUGAGAGGAUGCCCAGCCACGAUGGAACUGAGACACGGUCCAGACUCCUACGGUAGGCAGCAGUGGGGAAUAUUGCACAAUGGGCGCAAGCCUGAUGCAGCCAUGCCGCGUGUAUGAAGAAGGCCUUCGGAUUGUAAAGUACUUUCAGCGGGGAGGCGUUACCCGCUGAAGAAGCACCGGCUAACUCCGUGACAGCAGCCGCGGUGAUAC
rnacentral:rRNA from 1 species